rnacentral:rRNA from 1 species
GAUGAACGCUGGCGGCGUGUCUAAUACAUGCAAGUCGAGCGAACAGACGAGGAGCUUGCUCCUCUGACGUUAGCGGCGGACGGGUGAGUAACACGUGGAUAACCUACCUAUAAGACUGGGAUAACUUCGGGAAACCGGAGCUAAUACCGGAUAAUAUAUUGAACCGCAUGGUUCAAUAGUGAAAGACGGUUUUGCUGUCACUUAUAGAUGGAUUCGCGCCGCAUUAGCUAGUUGGUAAGGUAACGGCUUACCAAGGCAACGAUGCGUAGCCGACCUGAGAGGGUGAUCGGCCACACUGGAACUGGAACACGGUCCAGACUGCUACGGGAGGCAGCAGUAGGGAAUCUUCCGCAAUGGGCGAAAGCCUGGCGGAGCAACGCCGCGUGAGUGAUGAAGGUCUUCGGAUCGUAAAACUCUGUUAUUAGGGAAGAACAAAUGUGUAAGUAACUAUGCACGUCUUGACGGUACCUAAUCAGAAAGCCACGGCUAGCUACGUG